AUGUCCCAUUCGUACACUGCGCUUCCUCCGCGCCGCCCACGCCCACCUGACGACUGCUGGCUACGUUGUGUUAGCC
rnacentral:sRNA from 2 species